rnacentral:rRNA from 1 species
AACGAACGCUGGCGGCAGGCCUAACACAUGCAAGUCGAGCGAGCAUUUCGGUGCUAGCGGCGGACGGGUGAGUAACGCGUGGGAACGUGCCCUUUUCUGCGGAAUAGUCCUGGGAAACUGGGGGUAAUACCGCAUACGCCCUUUUGGGGAAAGAUUUAUCGGAGAAGGAUCGGCCCGCGUUGGAUUAGGUAGUUGGUGGGGUAAUGGCCCACCAAGCCGACGAUCCAUAGCUGGUUUGAAAGGAUGAUCAGCCACACUGGGACUGAGACACGGCCCAGACUCCUACGGGAGGCAGCAGUGGGGAAUCUUAGACAAUGGGGCAACCCUGAUCUAGCCAUGCCGCGUGAGUGAUGAAGGCCUUAGGGUUGUAAAGCUCUUUCAGCUGGGAAGAUAAUGACGGUACCAGCAGAAGAAGCCCCGGCUAACUCCGUG